rnacentral:lncRNA from 1 species
AUGGAAUGGAAUUGUGUGGAAUUGAAUAGAAUGGAAUGGAGUGUAAAGGAAUUGAAUAGAAUCAACCCGAAUGGAAUGGAAUGGAAUGGAACGGAAUGGAAUGGAAUGGAAUGGAAUGGAAUGCAAUGGAAUGGAAAGGAAUGGAAUCAACCCGAGUGGAAUGGCAUGGAAUGGAAUGGAAUGGAAUGGAAUGGAAUGGAAUGGAAUGGUACGGAAUAGAAUGGAAUGGAACGAAAUGGAAUGAAAUGGAUUCAACCGAAUUGGAGUGGAAUGGAAUGGAAUGGAAUUGUGUGGAAUGGAAUGGAA